CCUCUCCCUCUUCUUCGUUCCUGCCCUUUUCGAAAGGAGAAGAGAGAUCGCUUCCUCAACUCUUUUCUUUCUCGCUUUCGUUCUUCAAACUCAACCAAAUCUCUUGAUUUAGAUUCAGACUCUUUCACCGUUCUGAAGUUUUCUGUUGGAAACGAAUAAGAGUAGGUACUGUGUUCUGAAUCCUUAUCUGCGACGUUUGUUAUAGUUUUUGGGAUUUUGGAUCUUCGAUUUGGUACAUGAUUAUGAGAUAUUUAGAUAUCUCGACAUCUAUUGGUUUUGUUGUUUUCAUUGAUCUUCAGCAGAUUUGAUUCUGACACCUCAAGGUCGAUUGGAUUGGUUUCAAGCUAGGAUCUCAGUGAAUUUGAUCUUUCCAGGUUGAGUUGAGUUUCGCAGUCAAGCUAGCUGAUUGUAUUGUUAAUAUAUCAACUUUGAAAAGAGUGGGUGUAUACUAAUGGACUUGAAGGCAUACUUUCAAGAGCAGAAAAAUAGUAUGAUAUGAUGAAGGGAGUAACAAGACGUAUUGAGGAGGUACCACACCCUCAGAAUCUGUUGUUCAACGGCAGCAACGUAAAUAUGAGGUUAGUUGUAAGUUCAGUUCCAGUAGAAACAUGUUGUUACACAGACAUAUUCCAUAAGGCUUUCAUGUAGAAUGAAAGACAACUCAAAGCUGGGAGGAGAAGAAAGAAGAGAAUAGUCCUAGCUUCAGCCUUGGAAUAAUACUGGUAAUAAAGAAAUGUGCACCCAUCUUCCAGAUUUGUUCGUUUUGUACCACAAUAUUUGAAUUUAAAGCCUUAUUUGAAAUUUGUUUGGUUCCUUUUGAUAUUGACCUAUAAAUGCAUUCACGGAAUGAAUGAUUGAUGUAGAAUUUCAAUUGUAGUUUCUCAGUUUUGAGUCGUUUCUGCUAUAAACUAAAACAUGAGAGAUUGAGAUUAAAGCCUUACA